CCCCCCUUAUAAUGAUUUUGCGCCAAAACCACCCUACCUCUCCUUAAAAAGGAUACUGUACAACCAACACUUCAUUUUAACAGACGAAUUCCAAUGUUGGUUUGGAAUAGGGACCAGCUUCAGAAUUCAUCACGAGUAUUGCAAGUCCUCUAUAGGGAAGCCAACGUUAUACAGACACUGAAAUUCUGAACUUUCAACAGAAAUGAAAUGAAGAGGUUGGUACAACAUAUGGUCAAGCUUGUCAAUUUAAAAGAUAAAUACUAUUCAUAGUCGACAUUCUACCAACACUAUAGUACUGGGAAUUAUGUAAUAGUUAAAUUACAAUAUUAGUUUAGAACAGGGCCAAGUUCAGAAAUUUGCCCAUGACAUAUAAGUCUUCAUUUCGGUUAACCAACAUUCUGCGAAUACUGAAUUUCUCCAAUGAAUACAUUAAUGAAAUAACGAGCUAAGUGCUUACUUGUGCCAACCGUAGAAAUCAACCUACGCAAAUACAAGUCUACCAUCGGAUAACCAACAUUCAGCCAUCAUUGCUUUUCGCUCAUAAAAUUCAUUGCUAGAGGACGAUACGAAAACAACACAGGGCCAAAUUCAGAAAUUGGCCCGCAACGUACAAGUUUUCACAUCGAAUAACCAACAUUCUGCGAUAACUGAAUUUCUACGAAGAAAAUUUUGUGACAGGUUUUUCCGUUUUUUUAAUUUUUAUUUAAAAUGGCAUUUGGAGUAUUUAUUAUGUAUUUUAUUUGUUGUUUAUUGAGUGUAAACAAUGUUGGAUCGAUUUCGAAAUGGUGUUAUUGUUGUACAUCGAAUAACUAAUACACUUUCAAUAUAUCAUUUUCAGUAGUCGAAUUCCAACAUAAGUUGACAUACAAGCCAUUCUUGGAAAUUCAAUCACAAGAUUACAAGUCUCCAGAACACGUAAAUCCGUCAUCACUACACUGACAUUAUUACCAAAAGCUUUCGGAGUAAAAGAUCUACUAUAUAGCCUCCUUGUAUUUAACUAGCUGUGUGUUAGAACAUGAAGAAAGUGUCAAGAUUCGCAAGAAAACGUGCUGUUGACAGAAAAUUGGCAGAAUUGUUGAAAAAUACAAAACAAACCAGUUGUCAAACUAUUGUUGAGCAGCCGGUACAUUUUCCAGUUACAAGAAAUGAAGAAGUAGAAAACCCGACUAUCGCAGAUGAUGAUGCAGGCUAACUACUGCAGCUUCAUGUUGGCAACCAGGCUGACAUUGCCAGGCCUCAUAAUUCUGGUAAUACUGUUGAUAUUACUGGACCUGCUGGAAACUGCCGACUCAGACCAUAACGAAGUGAAUAGUGCCGAUCACG